ensembl:lncRNA
UGGAAUUGGCAUUUAUUUUGACCAAUGGCUUUGGGACAUUACAAAUAGCAGAACUAUGGGAAGCAUGACAACUGAUGAAUAGAAUUGGUGAGAAGACAGACCAAUGAUAUCUACAAGACAUAAAUGGAUGCUUUUUCCUUUCACAAUCUCGCCGUCUCAGAAAGGUAUGUUAUGUGCUGAUAUCAGAUAAGGAACUUUCAUGACUUCAUUGAAACACAACAAGGCCAUUGUAAAAACGAAUACACUAUGCGUGUAUUCAGAAUAAAGAGCAUGCGUUUCAGUCAGGUGAUCAUGGUGACCUUUCACAUUCCAGUUACAGUACUCAAAUCUCAAGAAUAAUACUUGUUUUCACCAGUCUAAUUUAUUUAAGUUAUGUCAAUCUUAAAUCCUCACACAGUCAUGAUUAAUCACACUGAAAUGUUAUGGAUUUAUGGAUGAGUAAAUAGAUAAACCAAGCAUUCAAAUAAGCUAAGUACUUUUUAUCUUCAAGGGACACAAACAGCUAAACAAGCUUUUAUAUGAUGUGUCAUGCUUGGCAUUUCAACCAGACAAAAACACAUUUCAAGAAAGAAUGCGCACAAGCUUGUAUUUCUCCUUAGGGCUAUGAAUGCACAUGGCUGAUUGUAGGCCAACAUUGAGUGGUUCUCUCUCACAACUGUCUCUGCACUAGUGUCUCCUUCAAAGUAUAUUAGAGUCCCCAUCACCGUGAAACAUUCCUCAGAGUUAAGUCUCUUUUUGUUUUGAUGCUUGACUCAGAAAUGUUUGAAUCCUCCAGUAAGACGUGUGGGACCUCUACAGCAACUUUCCCUGCACCAUGCCGGAAUCCUUUGACUAAAGCCAGAGGAAUGCUGGGUAGGUAGCCAGGCUGGUCUGACAACAUUACUCAACCGCCCCAGGAAUCUUCUACAGCAUUCCACACGACUUUCUUCAGAAUUUAGAGCACUGCACAGGUUCCACCUGCAUCAUCCACCUUGGGUACACUGUGUUGUGUUUACUGGGGGAUGGCUUGCCUAUGUAUAUUUACAGUACUAAUAGACCCUUUCAUUCAAUGAAAAAAAGGCCGCCAGUUCUAUCUCAUGAAUCAUUUAAACAUCUGCUGCUCAUUUGGUGUCUCCCUUAAAUUCUUUAACCCAGGCAAGUCUUCAGUACUAUUGGUACAAGUUUGAAUAUGUAUUAUUGCUCAGAUAAGUUACAGUAAAGGUACAGCAUAUUUUUGUCCAUAUAAAAUCUUAUCAGAGAAAAGGUGUGGAGGAGACAACUGUUGGCAAUUAAGUAGAUUAAUCUAAUUUAUAAAUGUUAUCUUCGAAGAGGAUGUGAAAAGUUGCAUAACCAGAGAGGUGGCCGUGGAAAGGUAGUAAGUACCACAACAGGGGGACUGUGGCAGCUAUUGAAUAUUGCAACAGGAAUAACAAACAUGAGACUGAAAACCACCCCCCAUUGUCUAUUUGGUAGCAGGAUAUGAAUAGAGGCAUCUCAAAGAGGAAACAUCACUUGAGCGCCGUCACCUGUACCUGUCCCCCCCACCCCUCUAUCUAUCAGCUAUCACAGGGCUUUAGAUUUCCGUGCUUGUGCUUCUGAUAGACAUAUGCUAAUCGAAACUCUAACAUUUGCCCAGUAGUUUACUGUAGUUUCCCCAAAUUAGAGACGUCAGACAAAUACAUCACUUUGUUUUAGAAGAAUAUUGCAUUUCAGGAUACCAGUUAAUUUAAUAUUUCACAGAGAAAACCUGUUCUUAGUAGUAUUUUCCGUCACUAUAGAGUGAAUUACAUUCCUGAUAGAUGAGAAUGUUUUUCCAGGGCAGUCGCCAGAAGGACAGGGAGUCAGGGGUGGGAGCAUUAUAUAUCUUAUCAACAUUACUGCUCAGAAACCUGACAUGGCUGACUCACAUACAGUAGCUUACAUUCUUAGGCAACAACUAGUGGAAAUUCUGAUGGAAGUUGUCCUGUGACUCAAGGGUGCGGCUACAGAGGUGAAACUGCAAACAUAUAGGGUUUAUUUGACAUGCACCCUUUCCUCCCGGGUGAUGGAGGAGUUUUAUGAGCAGAAUCUGUUUAUCAGCAGCAUUAACCAAAUUAAAUAGAUUUGUGUUCAUGUGGGUAGGCUCCUUGGAUACCUGCGUGCUGACAUGGAACAUGCAUUUACAGGAACCUUCCUCUGAGAAGAGCUCAGGAAAUUGCUUGUCCCCCUUGUCAGCGGUGUGAAGAUCAAAGCACUGGCAGGCGUUGAGCAGUAUCCACUGAGGUUGCAGGAUUAUCUCUCCACAUUCCUGCAUUCCAGCUCUCUCCAUCAUCUGAGACACUGUGGGGCCCCGGGAGGGACCUCCACACUAAAUACAUUUGCUUCUAGAGAUCUGGUUAGGUUUUAGCUGUUAGUCAGGAUGUUGUCAUUGUCCCAGUCUG